rnacentral:sRNA from 2 species
AUAUCUCUCCGUACGAGAAGGAUGAGAAGCUUCGACUAAGGUUCGAUUCGAGCGCAGCGAGAAAGCGUUGCCGCAGGCAACGACCCGAAGGGCGAAGCGCGCAGCGCUGAGUCAUCCUUCCCCCACCACCA